UACACCCACUAACUUCUAAAAGGUUUACUACAACCCACAAUGACCGUUUACUUUGGCUGAGCACUUUGCCCGUCGCGGCGCAAUGCUUGCUGGGAACUGUAGUACGCUGCGUCCCUUAUCGCGGGAGGACAGUGCGGUGUAAAAGGGGACCGUCAACUACACGUCCCAGUUCUCCCCGGGCAGGCGGCCGCGGCUGUUUAGACGCUGAAGAGCUGCACCCGCGUCUAACUGUCGCGGAUACCGGUGGAUUUACACAGCCAUAGGCGGCAGUGUGAACUCGAAGAAAAUGAAGACUCUGCAAUGAGUUAUUGCAUCCCCACACCUUUCCAUCUUCCUUAGCAUGGUUUGCUGCAGCUUCUUAGAAUGGACUCUUCAGCGCUCAGGGCUUAUCUACAUUGGGAAAUAGCCCAGAACAGCGAUUCCUCAACCGCUAUUCUGCAUGAGCUUUCUGUGUGGACACUCCUGUUCUACACUAAGAAUACCUUUUUGCGGGUUAGCUUAAUUUCACAUCCUAGCUAAUUUUGCAGUGUCUUCCCUGUGUAGACAAGCCCUUAGACACUGUAGUGCUGGGUGCUAUGGUAAAGCCUCACACAGAGAUAUUAAGUGCUUCCAGAGUGGCAAGACCUUUGGCAAUCACAUAUCAGAUUUCUUAUAGAUGAUUCCUCCUCCCAGCUCCUUUGCAGUGCAGAAUGAUAAAACAAUUUUCUAAAGAAAUAAUUAGAAUACUUCAUAGCUUGUAUACAAUGCUUUUCAUCCAUAGCUAUCAAAGCCCCUUACAAUGAAAAGGAGGAAUAAUUGUCCUCAUUUUACAGUUAACUGAUAUCAUAAAUAAAAAAUA